GAUGAAGAACGUAGCGAAAUGCGAUAAGUAAUGUGAAUUGCAGAAUUCAGUGAAUCAUCGAAUCUUUGAACGCACAUUGCGCCCGCCAGUAUUCUGGCGGGCAUGCCUGUUCGAGCGUCAUUUCAACCAUCAAGCCCCAGGCUUGUGUUGGGGACCUGCGGCUGUCGCAGGCCCUGAAAACCAGUGGCGGGCUCGCUAGUCACACCGAGCGUAGUAGCAUACACAUCGCUCAGGGCGUGCUGCGGGUUCCGGCCGUUAAACCCCUUUUUUACCCAAGGUUGACCUCGGAUCAGGUAGGAAGACCCGCUGAACUUAAGCAUAUCAAUAAGCGGAGGA
rnacentral:misc_RNA from 1 species